UUUUCGGAUCGUAAAACUCUGUUGUUAGAGAAGAACAAGGAUGAGAGUAACUGUUCAUCCCUUGACGGUAUCUAACCAGAAAGCCGCGGCUAACAACGUGCCAGCAGCCGCGGUAAUACGUAGGUGGCAAGCGUUGUCCGGAUUUAUUGGGCGUAAAGCGAGCGCAGGCGGUUUCUUAAGUCUGAUGUGAAAGCCCCCGGCUCAACCGGGGAGGGUCAUUGGAAACUGGGAGACUUGAGUGCAGAAGAGGAGAGUGGAAUUCCAUGUGUAGCGGUGAAAUGCGUAGAUAUAUGGAGGAACACCAGUGGCGAAGGCGGCUCUCUGGUCUGUAACUGACGCUGAGGCUCGAAAGCGUGGGGAGCAAACAGGAUUAGAUACCCACCGCGUCC
rnacentral:rRNA from 1 species